ACGAAGGGUACAAGCGUUAAUCGGAAUUACUGGGCGUAAAGGGUGCGUAGGCGGUUCGUUAAGUCUGUUGUGAAAUCCCCGGGCUCAACCUGGGAAUGGCAAUGGAUACUGGCGAGCUAGAGUGUGUCAGAGGAUGGUGGAAUUCCCGGUGUAGCAGUGAAAUGCGUAGAGAUCGGGAGGAACAUCUGUGGCGAAGGCGACUACCUGGACCAGCACUGACGCUGAGGCACGAAAGCGUGGGGAGCAAACAGGA
rnacentral:rRNA from 1 species